GUAAGCUACAAAGAGCAAGUGGUGGAUGCCUUGGCUAGUAGAGGCGAUGAAAGACGUGCCAGGCUGCGAUAAGUCUCGGGGAGCCGUCAAGGGGCUUUGAUCCGGGAAUUUCUGAAUGGGGCAACCCAACUAAUAGAGAUAUUAGUUACCGUAUAACGGAGCGAACGAGGGGAAUUGAAACAUCUUAGUACCCUCAGGAAAAGAAAUCAAAAGAGAUUACGCUAGUAGCGGCGAGCGAACGCGUAAGAGGGCAAACCGUUAGUUUACUAACGGGGUUGUAGGACUGCAAUAUAGACUAAACUUAGCUAAUAGAAUAAUCUGGAAAGAUUAAGCAUAGAGGGUGAUACUCCCGUAUAUGAAAGCUUUGUUUUACUUAGCAGUAUCCUGAGUAGGGCGGAACACGUGAUAUUCUGUCUGAAGCUGGGUAGACCACUAUCCAACCCUAAAUACUACUACUAGACCGAUAGUGUACAAGUACCGUGAGGGAAAGGUGAAAAGAACUGAGGUGAUCAGAGUGAAAUAGAACCUGAAACCAUUUGCUUACAAUCAUUCAGAGCCCUAUGAUUUAUCAGGGUGAUGGACUGCCUUUUGCAUAAUGAGCCUGCGAGUUGUGAUGUCUGGCAAGGUUAAGGAAACCCGGAGCCGUAGCGAAAGCGAGUCUUAAUAGGGCGUUUAGUCAGACGUUGCAGACCCGAAACGAUGUGAUCUAUCCAUGAGCAGGUUGAAACCGGUGUAAGAGCCGGUGGAGGACCGAACCCGCUAGCGUUGAAAAGCUAUGGGAUGACUUGUGGAUAGGGGUGAAAGGCCAAUCAAACAUCGUGAUAGCUGGUUCUCUCCGAAAUAUAUUUAGGUAUAGCGUCAUGUAGUAACACUAGGGGGUAGAGCACUGAAUGGGCUAGGGCAUACACCAAUGUACCAAACCCUAUCAAACUCCGAAUACCUAGUGUGUAAUCAUGGCAGUCAGGCGGCGAGUGAUAAAAUCCGUCGUCGAGAGGGGAACAACCCAGACUAACAGCUAAGGUCCCUAAAUCUCAUUUAAGUGGAAAACGAUGUGGAGUUACUUAAACAACCAGGAGGUUGGCUUAGAAGCAGCCAUCCUUUAAAGAAAGCGUAAUAGCUCACUGGUCUAGUGAUUCUGCGCGGAAAAUAUAACGGGGCUAAAAUGAGUACCGAAGCUUUAGACUUAGUUUUACUAAGUGGUAGGAGAGCGUUGUAUUUGCGUUGAAGGUAUACCGGUAAGGAGUGCUGGAGCGAAUACAAGUGAGCAUGCAGGCAUGAGUAGCGAUAAUUGGGGUGAGAAUCCCCAACGCCGUAAACCCAAGGUUUCCUACGCGAUGCUCGUCAUCGUAGGGUUAGCCGGGUCCUAAGCAAAGUCCGAAAGGGGUAUGCGAUGGAAAAUUGGUUAAUAUUCCAAUGCCAACUAUAAUGUGCGAUGGAAGGACGCUUAGAGUUAAGCAAGCUAGCGGAUGGUAGUGCUAGUCGAAAGGUGUAGGUUAAGAUCCAGGCAAAUCCGGAUCUUUUUAAGCCGAGACCCCACAGGCGUUUGAAGUUCUUCGGAAUGGAUAGCGAAUUGCCGAUACUGUCGAGCCAAGAAAAGUUUCUAAGUUUAGUUAUAGUUGCCCGUACCGUAAACCGACACAGGUGGGUGGGAUGAGUAUUCUAAGGCGCGUGGAAGAACUCUCUUCAAGGAACUCUGCAAAAUAGCACCGUAUCUUCGGUAUAAGGUGUGCCUAACUUUGUGAAGGAUUUACUCCGUAAGCAUUGAAGGUUACAACAAAGAGUCCCUCCCGACUGUUUACCAAAAACACAGCACUCUGCUAACUCGUAAGAGGAUGUAUAGGGUGUGACGCCUGCCCGGUGCUCGAAGGUUAAUUGAUGACGUUAGCUCUGCGAAGCGUUUGAUCGAAGCCCGAGUAAACGGCGGCCGUAACUAUAACGGUCCUAAGGUAGCGAAAUUCCUUGUCGAUUAAAUAUCGACCUGCAUGAAUGGCGUAACGAGAUGGGAGCUGUCUCGAAGAGGGAUCCAGUGAAAUUGUAGUGGAGGUGAAAAUUCCUCCUACCCGCGGCAAGACGGAAAGACCCCGUGGACCUUUACUACAGCUUGACACUGCUAUUGGGAUAAAAAUGUGCAGGAUAGGUGGGAGGCUUUGAUCCAUAGACGCCAGUUUAUGGUGAGCCGUUGUUGAGAUACCACUCUUUUUUAUUCUGAUAGCUAACUAGCUUGAGUUAUCCUCAAGUAGGACAAUGUCUGGUGGGUAGUUUGACUGGGGCGGUCGCCUCCCAAAAUGUAACGGAGGCUUACAAAGGUUGGCUCAGAACGGUUGGAAAUCGUUCAUAGAGUAUAAAGGCAUAAGCCAGCUUAACUGCGAGACAUACACGUCAAGCAGAGACGAAAGUCGGUCUUAGUGAUCCGGUGGUUCUGUGUGGAAGGGCCAUCGCUCAAAGGAUAAAAGGUACCCCGGGGAUAACAGGCUGAUCUCCCCCCAAGAGCUCACAUCGACGGGGAGGUUUGGCACCUCGAUGUCGGCUCAUCGCAUCCUGGGGCUGGAGCAGGUCCCAAGGGUAUGGCUGUUCGCCAUUUAAAGCGGUACGCGAGCUGGGUUCAGAACGUCGUGAGACAGUUCGGUCCCUAUCUGCCGUGGGCGUAAGAAGAUUGAGGAGAGUUGACCCUAGUACGAGAGGACCGGGUCGAACCAACCACUGGUGUACGAGUUGUUCUGCCAAGAGCACCGCUCGGUAGCUAUGUUGGGAUGUGAUAACUGCUGAAAGCAUCUAAGCAGGAAGCCAACUCCAAGAUGAAUCUUCUUUUAAGAGCUCAUAUAGACUAUGUGUUUGAUAGGCUGGGUGUGUAAUGGAUGAAAGUCCUUUAGCUGACCAGUACUAAUAGCUCGUCUGCUUAUCUUUUAAUAAGCAU
rnacentral:rRNA from 1 species